CCUACGGGGGGCAGCAGUGGGGAAUAUUGCACAAUGGAGGAAACUCUGAUGCAGCGACGUCGCGUGAGCGAAGAAGGUUUUCGAAUCGUAAAGCUCUGUCCUAUGGGAAGAAGAAAGACGGUACCAUAGAAGAAAGCCCCGGCUAACUACGUGCCAGCAGCCGCGGUAAUACGUAGGGGGCGAACGUUAUCCGGAAUGAUUGGGCGUAAAGGGUAUGUAGGCGGACCUGUAAGUCAGGUGUGAAAGGCAUGGGCUCAACCCAUGUAAGCACUUGAAACUGCGGGCCUUGAGGGAAGGAGAGGUAAGUGGAAUUCCUAGUGUAGCGGUGAAAUGCGUAGAUAUUAGGAGGAAUACCGGUGGCGAAGGCGACUUACUGGACUUUUACUGACGCUGAGGUACGAAAGCGUGGGGAGCAAACAGGAUUAGAUACCCCGGUAGUC
rnacentral:rRNA from 1 species